AAGGACGUCAUCAUUUCCCUCAGAGAUCUGAUGUGAGAAUGAAAUGAGAUGAUACAAGGAAGAGGAGCUGCUGGUCCUGGCCCAGAAAAGGCACCAAGUUAAGCCUUUCCAGGAAACCUUUCCAAAUCAAUCAGAAGUCAGAAGUGUGCGCUGGCAUCCCCAAAAUGUGAGCUCCAGAACCAUCAUUCAUUUCUUGCCUGGUUUGGGGCAUCACUUCUGGUCUGGACCGGCCACUUUCCUGUUCUGGAAAUCCAGCCUAUUGGACUUCAUGGUUCUGAAGUCCAUUCAACCCGGUUGGAAGCCCUUUGGCUCUAAGCAUUGGAGGAAAUGAAGAAGGGACAUGAAGCUGUUACCAGGAUGGACUGCAUGAAAUCUCAUUAACUGAGAACACAAGGGACCAGACAAAACAGAUUUUGAAUUAAUUAGUUUGCAGUAUGUGAAAGCAUUGCUGAGAAAUAUAGGACAUUUUAUUGGCUAAGAAAUUCCCAUUCAUUAUAUUACUCGAUGCAAUGUUAAGUCAAAUGAUAAAUGAGAAUGAUGUUUCUUUAUUUUUGGGCAAAUGAUAGGUGGUUUGGGAAAUACUGUAUUCGGUUCUCAGCUAUCUGGAUGAAAUUUAUCAGAUUCUUGCUUAUUGUCAUAAUUUCAGGUUGUAUCCUGUCAGCUCUCAAGUUCUGUUCUUUAAUAAAUUUUUUCCUUUCCAUGUGAA